rnacentral:rRNA from 1 species
ACACGACUCUUGGCAACGGAUAUCUCGGCUCUCGCAUCGAUGAAGAACGUAGCGAAAUGCGAUACCUGGUGUGAAUUGCAGAAUCCCGCGAACCAUCGAGUCUUUGAACGCAAGUUGCGCCCGAGCCAUUCGGCCGAGGGCACGCCUGCCUGGGCGUCACGC